GACGAACGCUGGCGGCGUGCUUAACACAUGCAAGUCGAACGGAAAGGCCCAGCUUGCUGGGUGCUCGAGUGGCGAACGGGUGAGUAACACGUGGGUGAUCUGCCUCUAACUUCGGGAUAAGCUUGGGAAACUGGGUCUAAUACCGGAUAGGACAAUCGUUUAGUGUCGGUUGUGGAAAGUUUUUUCGGUUAGGGAUGAGCCCGCGGCCUAUCAGCUUGUUGGUUGGGUAAUGGCCUAACAAGGCGUCGACGGGUAGGCGGCCUGAGAGGGUGGACGGCCACAUUGGGACUGAGAUACGGCCCAGACUCCUACGGGAGGCAGCAGUGGGGAAUAUUGCACAAUGGGCGCAAGCCUGAUGCAGCGACGCCGCGUGGGGGAUGACGGCCUUCGGGUUGUAAACCUCUUUCGACAGGGACGAAGCUUUGGUGACGGUACCUGUAUAAGAAGCACCGGCUAACUACGUGCCAGCCGCCGCAGUAA
rnacentral:rRNA from 1 species